rnacentral:rRNA from 1 species
AAAAUGACUCUCGGCAACGGAUAUCUCGGCUCACGCAUCGAUGAAGAACGUAGCAAAAUGCGAUACUUGGUGUGAAUUGCAGAAUCCCGUGAACCAUCGAGUUUUUGAACGCAAGUUGCGCCCGAAGCCUUUUGGUCGAGGGCACGUCUGCCUGGGCGUCACAC